AACAAUUGAUUUAUUCAGAGAGAGAGAGAGAGAGAGAGAGAGAGAGAGAGAGAGAGAGAGAGAUUAGAGACAUAUGUAUGAACGUAGUACAGAUGACUAAUAUGAAAAGGUAUGACAACAUCAGAAGGUCAAUGUCGCUCAUCGAUAUAUAAAUAUUCCUGCUUUUAAUACGAUAUAAUAUUCGAAAACAAAACAAAUGUAUUAUUAAAGCGACAAGGACAUGAAGAAAUGAGACGUAUAUUCCAUUUCAGUUCUCGUGUGACCGUCCGCCGGAGAAGAUAAGCACCCAUUGCUGCCGUAAGCUUAAACACCGACAGACUCGCGCGUAAACUCGCGUAAAAGGAAAGGAAGUAAAACAGAGACAGAAGAAACAGAAAGAAGAGAGGAAAAAAAAAGGAACAAUUAUCUAAUAAUAAAACGUAAGAGUUACCUGUAUCAAUUAAUCUUACGAUUAAUUUUAGGUUUCUUUAGAAUAAUAGCGCAAAUAUUACUCAAUUCUUUGUUUCAUUAAAUACAUUUGGUAGAAAACGUUGGCCGCAUUAGAUACACGCUUUUUUUUUUUUUUUUUACCUUUUUCUUUUCUUUUUUUUGCAUGUUUGUAUUUUUUUUUCUUUUUUUUUUUU